rnacentral:snRNA from 16 species
GGGUCAGACCUGGUUUUCGUGAACACUGGGGGCAAAGGCGGGGGAUGUGGGGGGGCCACAGGCAAGUCGGGGGCAGCAGCCUUUGAGCCC